AAACUGAGUCCGGUAACACAAAAAAGACCUGCGGUGUGAAUUAGGUUUUCGGUAAGGCAAUAAAAGAGCAUUAAAAAGCUUUAAAUGGUGGAAAACCUCCUUGCAGUGUCAGAGUCAAAUUUAGAAACUCCUGUGUUCAGCUUUUUUGGUCAGUUCCACAUGGAGGAUCAUGGGCCAGUAACCUUUGGUUCCUUUUAUGUGUCGAAGCUUAUUGCUCUGUGGAAGACCAAAGAAUAUAGUCGGCAGUGCAUCUAAGCACUUUACGGCCAGCUGACAGUGCCAAGAUUGACACUGGUCAUUACUGAAGACGACCUCUGGGUUCUCACGGUGCUCCUUGGGGGUUUUGCUCUCUGCCAAGAAUAUAGAACAUGGUGGGGGGUUUUGCUAUGAUUGUGCUUUCCGGAAACUUUGACCGAAAACAGAAAUGAUCGACAGCUUCAUCAUAUAGGAGUGGGGAAGUAACUGGAUGGCAAAAGACCAGGACUGAUCGUGAGGAGACUGAAGGGCAGAAUUCCUGAGCCCCAGGAAAGAAGCACAAUGUUUGGACCAGAGAGAUGAUGCUUGGAACACCCUGUGACAAAUGUCUUGAUAAGAGAUUUGAAAAGUGUAUAAAAAUCAGAGUGGCUUGA